UUGAAUCACAGGAGUAGCGAUGUCGUAUUGCUGUGUACCAGGCUGUACAUCCUAUCAACGGAAAGAGUGCGAUAAAGAGUUGUCAUUUCAUCGCUUUCCGAGUGACCCAAAAGUCUGCUGUGAAUGAAUUGUGAAUAUAAGAAGAGAUGUUGGACCUUAUUUUCAGGUUACAGACAACACUAGAGUAUGCUCCAAACAUUUUACCCCGGACUGCAUUGUACGAUCGCUCACUGGUUUACAUAGACUGAAACAUGGAAGCAUACCAACUUUGUUUCCGUGGAGCUGUGAACUGAAGCCCAGGAGGACACUUGAGCGACAUCAGCGUGUUAAUGAUAUUGAAACAUUUGAGGAGGAUGAAGAGGAGGACCAUUCAUUUUCUGAUCAGAACACAGGAGA